GCGGAAGGAGACAUUUUGAGAAUUUUCCAGCAUUAUGACGUCACGGGAAUUCCAUUGUGAAGGUAUACGUAUGACUGAAGAUACUUGCGAAUCAGUACUGUUCGGGAAUUGCGUUGUGAUGGUGCGUAGAAGAUGAGUCCUUCGUGAAAUGUCAUGGCGUCUGGAGGGUGCGAAUGUGAGAAGAGAACUUGUGUGACAGCGGGGGAGAACUGAUAGUAGCAGAGAUCUGAUAGUUGGAAACAACGCUUUGGUUUGUAAAUUUCUCGAUGUAAUUUUAUGCUGUUGAAUUACUGUUCUUGAUUCGUGCUGAAUUGUAUUUGCGUUCCACGAAUAUUGCUUGUUCUAUUGUAACUUUCCAGUGUGUUGUAAAAUAAAAUAAAAUAUAUUGUUUUGCUUCUUUAUUUGAACCUAUUAUUCCUCUCUUCGUAUAAUGUGUGUAUUCAUGUACAGACGUCAUGGGGAAAGGAGUCUUAAGGGUUGCGAAUGCCACUUCGUCUCAUCGGCCAUUAUGAAGAAUGUGACGUAGUAUUCGUAAGUGAUUAUUAUAGACAGAGCGCUAUGAUUUAAGUGUAUUGUGAGAUCCUUACAAAGUGCAUUUGUACAUGAAAUUUUCGUGAUUUGUAUAGAUCAUAUUGCCAAGUCUUUUUACUACUUUUUUACCCGUCGAACAAAUGAGUCACGUAUGCUGUAUUUGGCAGGAGUCUGGAAGUGCUUAAGGAGACUGGACUCCUGAAAUAUCUGGUGGUUCGUCAGAAGUACGUGCGCACUCAUUAUCAGGACCAGUAUAGCAUGCAGCAAGAUGUUGUGCAGUACUGAUCUACGUGGCCCAGCUUAAGAUGUUGAGGAGCUCCCUAAAACUGUUGAUAGUGCAGUACUUACUUGGAUGCAGGCAGUAUCCAGUGAAGGUAAAGUACAUUGUAAAGCUGCAUUUUUUGAUGGUCCAAUAUGAACUUAAAGUAUUUUUAUUUAUUUCAUGGCCAGAGAACAGUAAAAAAUUCUGGUAGCAGUGGAUAAUAUUUGAAGUCUCCGUUGUCAUUUGUGUAAGAUAAACUGUCUGCAGAAAAUCUGGAAUCAAAAUGAUACAUUGCUACUUACUGCAGAGAGUGGUUGGAUCUUGAGCAAAAUUAUGGCGAGACAAGAUGGUAAACAUAUGAACAAAUUAAUCCAUUUGGUGACUUCACGUAUACCCAUUGUAUCUUCUGUUUGCAAAGGCAUUCACUUUGCAAUAUUUCUUGAGUCAAUUCUAGUGCAUGAAUCUUGCAAAAGAAUGCCUCAAAGCACACGUAAGUAAUGCGUUGUAAGACUGACCCAAUACUUCCUUGAUAUUGAAUGAGCAUGAACUUAAAAGUUUGACUUACAGUGAUCGGGUUAUCAGAAUUAGAUGUAUUCUCUACCUUACACAGGUUACUUUCUUCCCUAAAAUAUGAAAAGAAGUAAAAAUGAAAAAUUGAAUAUUUGAAAGAAAAGAUGUCUUCGCUACCUUAUUUUGUCAGACCUGCAGCUGUUGACACGCUUGGUAAGUCACUGUACAUAUAGCGUGAUCACUUUUUUUAGUAUGCUUGGUUUCACUUUAACCAAUUAAAUGUAUGGAGCUACAAAUUGAAACAAUAUUACCACUUAAACUUACUAUGUACAUAGUUAAUAGAUAUCCACAAAAAAAUAAACUUGUGGAUCUUCCUUGUGAACAUACAGUGGUGGACCUGUACAGAGGGAUUAAAUGUACGUGCUUCAAUAACUAUGAACAGUAUUAGUAUUUUGGCUGGACUUCCUGCCAAAUAUCCAAAACCAAAGGUGCUCUUUUACACAGCACCCAGGAUUUAGAUACGCUGUACUUCAUUAGUGCUUAGUGGGACACUAUCAGAUUGCACUGCAAGUUGAGGUGGUACUCUGUGCCAGUCACUGAACAAAGGGUUAGCUCCAUGUAAGUUGGGCAUUAGUGUGUUGGAGAUAAGGUGUCAGUUUUUUACUAUCCAGUCAGUAAGUACUACUGCCUUACCCUUGUUUGCAUGGCCAAAACAUUGCUGUGUUAUGAGGGAGGGACAGACUAAAUUGAGCUAUACGGAAGUAAGCCAACAUUAUCUGUACUUGUUUUUGAUUGUCAUGGUUCCUUAAUUUAAGAGUGAUGAGCAUUCCUUAGAUCACUAUAAAUGCAGAUCGUGUACUGGCAGUGAAAGACAGCCAGGAUUGCCUAUGUUGUGUGCUAUGAAAGAGGUAAGUUCCAUGUAAGAAUAAGUAACAAAGCACUAUUUGUAACUGAAAAAUUGAAAACCAUGUUUGGGCUGUAAAACAAAAUUAUUUUUGAUGAGCUGGAGUGCCCAUUACAAAUUAUUACAUUUUAGCACAUCAUACAACAAAACACAGACCAUCAGAUGAUCACUAAAAACAAUCUCUGUAUAUUUUGUGAAAGUACAGUAAUUGUGUUGUACAGAUGUUUAACUGGUGACACUCAUUAGUCAUUAAAUACUUUAAAGUGAUUACUCGCAGGACUUCCUUAAGUCAGAAAUUACGUUGUACCAAACCAUGCAAUAUACUUUGAAGGGCUCACCUUGUUUAGAAUGUACAAAAAAAUUGAACCAAUGCAUUGAGAACUUCACUGGUUAGUAAGUCCCCUUUCAUAGUAUUUGGUGAAUACAAUAACUUGUUCAGUCCCCUUCUAUUUGCUUGAUAUCCUUGCUGAGAUCUUGAGUGAUUGCUUGUAAGCCAUUGUGAUGUGAAAUGUCAAUCAGUAUAAUGAACCACAUAACAGUUGGGGAAACACUGCUUAACAUUUAAGGGGUGACACUGUUUGAAUUGGAUUUCUCUAUGGUAAGGAAAAGGUGGAGAUAAUGUUGAAUUAUAAAGAAUUUUUGUAAUUGUAUACUACUAGCAACUGUCAUCAUCCUGAGAGAUCUUAAUAUAAAUUGUUGAAUGAUUUGUCUGCAAAUUUAAAUGCUUUACAAACUUUGUAAUAGUUUGCAUGGUUGAAGCAGGCUUAUAAGUCAACUGGUGUUCAAAAUGUCUGAGUCUCUGCAUUUUGAUUUGAAGUUGGGGGAGGGAGUGCAAAGACAUAGUAUAGAGCCUGUAAUGAAUUGGAAGAAGUUAUUGCUACCUUUAUCUGCUUAGGCAUAGUCCAUACCAAUUCAGGCAGGCUAGGACAAAAUCAUGCCUUUGUCAGAUGUUAUUGAAUUUAGCAUAUGUUAAAAUGGACUAAAUAAGGAACUUACUUUUUUGUUUUCUCCCAAACAAAAUCUGCUCUGAGAUAAGCCCUCCAAAGAUGAUGCUGCAUGUACCACUUUGAAGAUGUGAAUUUUGGAAAAAUUUUAAACUGGCAUAUAUCUGGUAAAGUUCUAGAUAUUUUGUUGGUUUUUUAUUUGAAAGUUAAU